UACGUAGGGGGCAAGCGUUGUUCGGAAUUACUGGGCGUAAAGGGCGCGUAGGCGGCACAGCAAGUCGGGAGUGAAAGCCCGGGGCUCAACCCCGGAACGGCUUUCGAAACUGCUGAGCUAGAGUACAGAAGGGGCAACCGGAAUUCCCAGUGUAGCGGUGAAAUGCGUAGAUAUUGGGAAGAACACCUGAGGCGAAGGCGGCUCACUGGUCCGGUACUGACGCUGAGGUGCGAAAGCGUGGGGAGCAAACAGG
rnacentral:rRNA from 1 species